GCAUAAGCCUCAACGACAAAUUCAACCGAAGCCUCAACCGAAAAAACCGCCAACGGUUGAUCAAAAAUCUAAACAAACGGCACCAAACGUCGACAAGCCGAGAAAACCAAAGAUCCGACAAGUUUGGAUCCGGAAAGGUGAUAUCUUUCCUUGCUCCUCGUCUUAGUCAUUUUUGAUUUUUAGUGUAAUGCUUUGAUUGGUGCUCGUUGUUUAAUUUUAUUCAUUGCAUUACAUGUUUGAAUGAUUUUUGGUGCAUUGAAUUUUUGUUUUAUUUAAAAAUUAUUUUGAGGAAAAGGUGUUUGGGAAUUUCAAAAUCUUUGAGAAAAGAGAUAAUUGAG
rnacentral:lncRNA from 1 species